ACUGAAGAGCCUACUACCUGCACGAAAGAAAAGAAACAAGAAUGUGCCAGUAAAGGACAAGAGUGUGAUAACACGACAGGUACAGUGCAGUGCAUAGAAGCUAAGCCCACUCAAGCGCCUACUACGUGCACGAAAGAAAAGAAACAAGAAUGCGCCAGUAAUGGACAAGAGUGCGAUGACACGACAGGUGCAGUGCAGUGCAUAGCUAAGCCCACUGAAGAGCCUACUACGUGCACGAAAGAAAAGAAACAAGAAUGCGCCAAUAAAGGACAAGAGUGCGAUGACACGACAGGUGCAGUGCAGUGCAUAGAAGCUAAGCCCACUCAAGCGCCUACUACAUGCACGAAAGAAAAGAAACAAGAAUGCGCCAGUAAAGGACAAGAGUGUGAUAACACGACAGGUACAGUGCAGUGCAUAGCUAAGCCCACUGAAGAGCCUAUUACGUGCACGAAAGAAAAGAAACAAGAAUGCGCCAGUAAAGGACAAGAGUGUGAUGACACGACAGGUACAGUGCAGUGCAUA